CCUACGGGAGGCUGCAGUCGAGGAUCUUCGGCAAUGGGCGAAAGCCUGACCGAGCGACGCCGCGUGUGGGAUGAAGGCCUUCGGGUUGUAAACCACUGUCGUAGGGGAGGAAAUGCAGAGGGGUUCUCCCCUUUGCUUGACCUAUCCUAGGAGGAAGUACGGGCUAAGUUCGUGCCAGCAGCCGCGGUAAGACGAACCGUACAAACGUUACUCGGAAUUACUGGGCUUAAAGGGUGCGUAGGCUGCGCGGAAAGUUGGGUGUGAAAGCCCUCAGCUCAACUGGGGAAUUGCACUCAAAACUACCGUGCUCGAGGGAGACAGAGGUAAGCGGAACUCAAGGUGGAGCGGUGAAAUGCGUUGAUAUCUUGAGGAACACCGGUGGCGAAGGCGGCUUACUGGGUCUUUUCUGACGCUGAGGCACGAAAGCCAAGGUAGCAAACGGGAUUAGAUACCCUAGUAGUC
rnacentral:rRNA from 1 species